CCUCCAGAAGCGAGCGUGCAGGCUGGAGACCCUUCCCCCUGAGGCUGGUGCUCACCCGGGGGGCUGUGCCAUGGAGCUGGACUCCAAACAGAGGAUCUCCCCCGACUGCUGUCCCUGGGCUACAAAGACAAAGCAAAAUACAAUGGUUUUUGAAAACCACGGGAGCAGAGGAACUGCCCAGCCUUGCCCAAGAUGUAUUGCUGGAGAAUCCGGACACUUCAAUCAUAUCCUGGGCUUCUAGGAUGGGCAGGUGGGCAACGCUGCUUGUCCUGGUGAACUCCAAAGUGGCACCAGGCCCCCGCACCCCCGGGACGUCUGCGCCUGCGCCCGCGGCGGGGACUCAGCUCUGUCCCUGCACAGUCACGGGUGUCAUCGUUCUACACUUGGAAAAAAAUGCUUCUGCUUUUAAGGUAGCUCAGUACCUCUUAGGGAAAAAAAAAAAAAGUUGAUUUAAUGUUUUAGAAUAGUUCAGUUGGUCUUUGGCCCUGGGACUGUCGGUACAAGAGAUUUUCCUGUCUCUCUCAGGCACUUUCCCUGACGCUGUUGGAACGUGGUCCUGGCAUUUCCAGGGGUGCAGGGCUGCAGUUCCAGCUCAGCCCUCUACGUGCAGGCAGAAAUGUCUUCAUUUUUAGAUGGCUGUUCAGCUGGGAAGGCCAGUAAAAAUCCUAUUGAAACUUAUGUUUAAAUCUAAAAUAUGCAUUCAGUUUGGGUGUCUUCUAUGCUAAACUUCUAGUUUGUUUAUAACAAGCAGAGCUUGUGAAUGCAGCAGGCAAAUACCUAAUAGAAACAGGAGUAUUAUUUGAACAAGCCUCUGUAAAGCCAAGGUGAACAGUGAUUCAGCUCUGUGGAGUCCUCAAAAGUGAAGAUGCCCCGACUCUGUCUUUCCAGUUAUUGUCAUACUACAGCAAAGCUGUUAAAAAGCCUUGAACUCGUCAUCCAACAGAAUUUCAUUGGCUUCUUACAAAUAAUUUCAUCUACAUUUUGCCAGUAUAUAGAACUGUAUCAUUUUUAGACUCUGAUAGCCGAGUUGUAGUUAGCACUGAGUUGACUGUUAUUUCGGGAAGAAUAUCUCCGUAUAGAUGAAUCAUGUGAAGACUGAAUUCAGUGAAGUAAUAGAUGAGGAAAUAAGUGUACAGAGCAGCCCUGCACUGAACGGCCAUACGUACUGAUUGGGUAGGAGGGAAUAAGUUUCCUCUAAGCCAAUAGAAAUUUUAGUUCCAUUGAAAAUCAGUAUUUUCAAAGCGCAAAAAUUUUCAGAUGCUUCAAAAUUUUCUUCAAUCACAAGAACAGGACAAUCCAUUACACGAUCAAAUCUCCCAAGAAACACGGCGGGUUCAGCAGCUGCAUUGUCCCUGCUGCCUUGAGGAGCUGGAACUCAUCUCCUGUCCUCCAGUCCAGCUGGGUGUAAGCAGCAGUGUCCAUCCCCCUGGGUCCAGCUGGAUGUGAGCAGCAGUGUCCAUCCCAUGGGAAGGAAGAGUUUUCUGCUGGAAUACGUCGGAGCAAAGCGUGCCAUCGCGUUUGAAUCACGGGGAUGUGUCUGUGGAUUAUCAAACCCAAAGGGUGCUUUUCAUUUCAGUAACUCAGAUUUUAUCCUGUUGAGGAUUCACGGGUGGCACUGGGUGUGCUGCUGCUGCUGCUUGCUUCAACCUCAGCUGUGUCCUCAUCUUGGCUUAUACUAUUUAAAAAAAAUAAAUAGAAGAACGCUUUGGGAGUUGCAGUUGGAGGCAGGAGGUACCUGCGCUCUCCCUUUUCAUUAGUUCAUUAGUCUUCUGUGUUCCUCCUUGUUGCAGGAGGCCCUGAGUCCUAACAAAAACUUGAAGAGACUUUUACUGCCAUUUCUGGGACUGCUGUUGCUGCUAAAGUGUUCUGGAUAAAUGUACAUAUAAUUGUGUGAUUUUAAAUGGGUGUUCUGGUUUUGGGAUUUGCCAGCCAGGAUGGUAACGCCGCUGUGACAGGGACAGGUGGGGACAGGGGAAUAUUGCUUUUAAGCAGAUUUGUGUCAAAUCUGCAGCAGAACCACAAAAUUAUUUUUGUAAGAUUUUCUUUACAUUGUAUAACUAUAAAAUUUUGGUUUAUUGAUAAAGAUUAUAUGCUCUUUAUUUUUCCUAAUUCUGUGGUUUGUACACAGAAUAACCUGAGCGAUCCUUUCUUUAUGUGUAAAUAGUAAAAUGGUCUGUUUUUAAUUCAGGUUUAAAAUGAUAUAAUCUUAUAUUUUUAACUUUGUAUUUUGUAAAUCGUUCCUUACAGCAGCAGAAGCAUUAAAGGGCGCUUUGGCUACA